rnacentral:rRNA from 1 species
GUGCCAGCAGCCUGCGGUAAUUCCAGCUCCAAUAGCGUAUAUUAAAGUUGUUGUGGUUAAAAAGCUCGUAGUUGAACCUUGGGCCUGGCUGGCCGGUCCGCCUCACCGCGUGCACUGGUCCGGCCGGGCCUUUCCCUCUGUGGAACCCCAUACCCUUCACUGGGCGUGGCGGGGAAACAGGACAUUUACUUUGAAAAAAUUAGAGUGCUCCAGGCAGGCCUAUGCUCGAAUACAUUAGCAUGGAAUAAUAAAAUAGGACGCGCGGUUCUAUUUUGUUGGUUUAUAGGACCGCCGUAAUGAUUAAUAGGGACAGUCGGGGGCAUCAGUAUUCAACUGUCAGAGGUGAAAUUCUUGGAUCAGUUGAAGACUAACUACUGCGAAAGCAUUUGCCAAGGAUGUUUUCAUUAAUCAGGAACGAAAGUUAGGGGAUCGAAGACGAUCAGAUACCGUCGUAGUCUUAACCAUAAACUAUGCCGACUAGGGAUCGGACGGUGUUAUUCAUGACCCGUUCGGCACCUUACGAGAAAUCAAAGUGCUUGGGCUCCAGGGGGAGUAUGGUCGCAAGGCUGAAACUUAAAGAAAUUGACGGAAGGGCACCACCAGGGGUGGAGCCUGCGGCUUAAUUUGACUCAACACGGGGAAACUCACCAGGUCCAGACACAAUAAGGAUUGACAGAUUGAGAGCUCUUUCUUGAUUUUGUGGGUGGUGGUGCAUGGCCGUUCUUAGUUGGUGGGGUGACUUGUCUGCUUAAUUGCGAUAACGAACGAGACCUUAACCUGCUAAAUAGCCCGCAUUGCUCCGGCAGUGCGCUGGCUUCUUAGAGGGACUU